CAUUUUUAUUCGCGGCCGCUUGUUGUUUUAUCACGCUUAGUAAAAUUCUUUCAAAAUGUUAAAUAUACGGUUAAAAGUAUUUAUCAAAGUGUUUUAGUUUGUGCAUUUUAUUAAAGUUUAUUGAAAUUUGUUAAAUAAAUAGUCAAAUUAUGUGUGGAAGCUUUGUGAUGAAAUUCUUGGAAGAAUUUAUUAUUAUGUAGUGUAUCUUGUGUAUUACAACAAUGCUAUUGAAGUUUAAAGUGUUUAAGCAAGUGUUCUUGUUUUUGUUGUUGUAUAAAGUAAAUAUAUAAAUAUGAAGGAAAAAGAAGAAAAUUACAUGUUUGUAAUGAGAAAUUUAAUUUAAAAGAUAAAUAAAAUGCAUAAUAUGUAAUUGUAAGAAAAUCAUAAAUAAAUAAAUUAAUUGAAAAGAGAACAACAAUCUUUAAUUGAUAAAAAAGAAAAAAAUUCAGUACUAUACAUUUAGGAAUGCUGCAAAAAAGACACAUCACAAUCAUUAAACACAUAGUUGAUGAUCAUUGAUUAAAAAUAUUUCCGGUGCGUUAAAAGAUGGAGUAAUUAACUAAUGUGGCGAACAAUUAAGCUCACAAACCGAUUUGGAGUAGCUUUAAUAGCUCAACGUAAAAUUGGGAAAGUACCUAGAAUGAAAGCUAUAUUCGACAAUGAUGUCACUAUAAUUCCGGCAAAAGUAUUUUCCAGUUUCAAAUGAAUCGAAGAAUCCUGCUGAAGAUGUUAUAACAAUUGAUGGCAUAUAUAAAGCCUUAAACGGGUCAACUAUACGGAUUUUAUAAUAAUGAAAAAUAGAAAUUUUGAAUGUUUAUUUUAAGAUCAAAAUGAGCAGCAUAUACAUGGAAUUUAAUAUAUUUUACAGAAAAAUUGUCUGUAAAACAAAAAUAUAAACAAUUUAAUUUAAAUUGACAAAAAUGCGCUAUAAUGUCAUCAAAUUCUUUAAACAUUUAUCGAUUUAUCCUAAUGACUUUACAUUUUAUACAUACUUGGUUAUAAGUAAAUUAUUCACUAAAUAAAUAUUCUCUUGUUUAUAUUAUUUAAUCUUAAUUAUGAAAGUAAAUUGUGUAUAUGAUUUUCUAGAUUUAAUGAUUUUAAUGAAAAUUUAUAAAUUGUUUUAUAGUUAACAAUCAAUCUAUGAC